rfam:Pyrodictium occultum strain PL-19 Contig1, whole genome shotgun sequence.
GCCGCCGUAGCUCAGCGGGAGAGCGCCCGGCUGAAGACCGGGCGGUCCGGGGUUCGAAUCCCCGCGGCGGCA